GACGAACGCUGGCGGCGUGCCUAACACAUGCAAGUCGAACGGAAAGGCCCUGCGUUUGUGGGGUGCUCGAGUGGCGAACGGGUGAGUAACACGUGUGUAACCUGCCCUUGACUUUGGGAUAACUUCAGGAAACUGGGGCUAAUAUCGGAUAGGAUCUCCUGCUGCAUGGUGGGCGUUGGAAAGUUUCGGCGGUUGGGGAUGGACUCGCGGCUUAUCAGCUGGUUGGUGGGGUAGUGGCUUACCAAGUCUUUGACGGAUAGCCGGCCUGGGAGGGUGACCGGGGUCAUGAGGCCUGCGAGAGGCAGCAGACUCCAACGUGAGGCAGUGGGCGAAAGUAUGACACAGCGGGCCGGAGUCUGAGGCGAAGGCGCCCGGUUCGGAAUGACGUCCUUCGGGUUAAGAACCGCUUUCGCCUGUGACGAAGCGUGAGUGACGGUAACGAAUAAAGAAGCACCGGCUAACUACGUG
rnacentral:rRNA from 1 species